rnacentral:misc_RNA from 1 species
GUGGGAGGGGGCUUGCCCCCGAUAGCGGUGGGUCAGUCAGAUUAUCGAGUACUGAUACACCGUCAUCGGGGGCAAGCCCCCUCCCAC